GGUGUAGCUAGAAAGAAAAACAGAAUGUAACUGUCAAUAUCUGUAACCCUUUUUAAUUGACACACAUGAGAUAGGAUCAAAUGGCAAAAUCAGAUGUUUGAAAACAGGAGUAAGCAUGCUGCAGUGAUGUGACCUUGGUUCGAUAUCUGUGUCGUAUGUGAGUAGAGUUUGCUCAUUGUAUUUCUCCUGUGCUUCAAGGGUUUUUCUCUGGAUGCUCCACCCUCUCUCCACAAAAUCAACUUCUAAAUUCCAAUUGGAAUUCAGUUGAUAAAGAGCCACUCUUUACAACUGCCACUGUUAAAUCCCAUUUAUUUUUUAUUACUUAUUGAAUGCUAGUCUUACACCAAGACUUUGAUUGUCUUUUUGAUCACCCUUGGAUGAACCCUAAUGAGAAUUCCAAUUGCUGGGAUAAGUUGCAAACAAUGAAUCAAGUUGARCAUCAGAUACAAGAUACACAUAUUCCAUCAUGUAUGGACCCCUUGCACUGAGUCCCAAGAGGAAUAAGUGUUCUUGGGAACAUAACAAAUGGAUUUUUUUUGCAUAAGCAAAGAUGGCCUAUUGUAUUGUCCCCCAGAACAAUUCCUCUAGGAAAUCAAGGGGUCUGUUGCUAUGUAUGCGAAGUACCUUAAUAUUAACAUGAUAUCAAGUAGCUAAACUUACUUACUUGUCUGCCAUUUAUCUGCUGGCUAGAACUUGACAGCAUCAUCACUAUGACAACAUAAUGCUUGGCUGAGAGGCUGACAAACUGUUGAAAAAAGUCAAAGAGAUCUGAGUAAUAUACAUACCUGAUGAUUAGUAAUAAACUGCUGCUUGGGAUAUGAACAACAUUUUCGUGGCAACAAGAGUCAAGAUGCAGUAUGGUAAUGAGGUUCAGAUGUCAGAUAUCGGCAGCCAUCUCGUUACAUAUCACUGGACAGUUUUAUGGAGUAUUUCACGUAUUGACACACGUCGAACUGCGAAGGAAGCAAGAUUCAAAUGGCACAAGUCACACCAAGAGACUGGAUACUAGCAUUUUACACAGGGAUCCCACAAAAAUCUUGAUUUUUUGGUGAAAAUGCGACGGUUUUCGAGCAAUGUUUUUUGCCCAAAACAUGAAAAAUGACCAGAAAAGGCUAUAUUCGUACCCUACGGAGAAUAAAAACCCGAAAAAACGCUUAUUUUAGGCAAAAAACACCAUUAUGUUAAUUAGUCACGUGACCAGUCACGUGACCCUU